rnacentral:lncRNA from 1 species
GGAAAAUAUACCAUAUAUGGAAAACUGUAUUAAGGGAUCAUUUUGUGGGAGGUGAGAAGUACAUGGAUGUAACACCAGCUGGCCUGUUAUUGUGCCUUUCUGCUCAUUCCCCAGAGUCUGAAGUGUGGGGACAGUGUGAACUGCACUGGGGUGCAGCUCCAUACCAUACUCCAGGAUUAACUCUGACCAAGGUCAGAGCAACUAGUCACCAGUAUUCUUCAUGGGAGAGUCAGGCCUCCUGCAUCCCUGGGAA